UAGUUAUGUAGAUAUAAAUCAGUGAUAUUAGUUCUAGUUAUACAUAUGCACAAUUCUAUAAAAUACUAAAUUACAAAUCAUUAUAUUACUGGCAAACAUAAAAUAUUAACAAUUAGACCAUAAUAUGAAAAAUAAUAGGACAAAUUUUUUUAGGUUCUUUCUGAUUAUGAGACCUUAUUAAGUACAUCAUCCAUUACCAUAUGUUUCGUGUAGGUCUCUUCCAUCCCUUUUUCUCUUCCUCAUUUCACUCCCCAUCCCUCUCUCCUUUUACACCUUGAGGUAGCACUCUAAUGCACUAGAAAAAGAAAGUGAUGAAAAUGGAUAGGAAGGCAAAGCACCUAUUUAUGUGGCAAAGUUAAAUUUAAGAACAAAGAAAAGAUGGUAAGAGGAAAGGGAAGAGAAUUAAACCCAUCUAUAGCCCAACAAUUGCUAUUAUAUUUUUCAUUGCGAUGCAAUAAGUAGCGACUAAACCCUAACGUGACUUUAUUACUCUUUUACAUUUAUUCCUUUGAUUUUUUUUUUACUUUUUGUUGAAGUUUAUCAUCAUUCUUCAAUUGUUAUAGUUGAAUGUGGAGAAAAGAAUAGUGUAUUAUUUUAUUUUUAUCUACAUGAAUUAUCAAGUAGAAUUAUAGUGAUAAGUCUUUAUAAUAUUUUAAAACUCAUCAAAUAAGUUUCAGAAAAAAAACUCAUUUUCAAUUCAAAGUAGUAUCUUCAAAGUGCAAUUAAUAUGCUAAAAGGUAAAUUAGCAUUGAGAAUGACAAAACAAUGAUACUCUAAAAUCCUAAAUUGAGCUUAAAUAUUUUUUUAAAUCUCCUGACCCUUAUACAUAGCCAAAAUGACAAAAUUGAGUAAUGCCAAAGAUUUUAGCCCAAUACCUCAUCCAAGGGCAAGUCCUUGGGAUGAAGUGCCAUGCAAC
rnacentral:lncRNA from 1 species